CUACGGGUGGCAGCAGUGAGGAAUAUUGCACAAUGGGGGGAACCCUGAUGCAGCAACGCCGCGUGGAGGAUGACGCAUUUCGGUGUGUAAACUCCCUUUAUAUGUCAAGAAAAUGACGGUAGCAUAUGAAUAAGCACCGGCUAACUCCGUGCCAGCAGCCGCGGUAAUACGGAGGGUGCAAGCGUUACUCGGAAUCACUGGGCGUAAAGGACGCGUAGGCGGGUUGGAAAGUCAGGUGUGAAAUCCUACAGCUUAACUGUAGAACUGCACUUGAAACUUCUCAUCUAGAGUAUGGGAGGGGGAGAUGGAAUUAGUGGUGUAGGGGUAAAAUCCGUAGAUAUCACUAGGAAUACCUAAAGCGAAGGCGAUCUCCUGGAACAUUACUGACGCUAAGGCGUGAAAGCGUGGGGAGCAAACAGGAUUAGAUACCCGGGUAGUC
rnacentral:rRNA from 1 species